rnacentral:rRNA from 1 species
CCUACGGGUGGCAGCAGUGAGGAAUAUUGGUCAAUGGGCGGGAGCCUGAACCAGCCAAGCCGCGUGAGGGAAGAAGGUACUGCGUAUCGUAAACCUCUUUUGUCAGGGAACAAAGGCGGGGACUAGUCCCCGGAUGAGGGUACCUGAAGAAAAAGCAUCGGCUAACUCCGUGCCAGCAGCCGCGGUAAUAGGGGGGAUGCGAGCGUUAUCCGGAUUUAUUGGGUUUAAGGGGUGCGCAGGCGGCCUGUUAAGUCAGCGGGAAAAGCCCGGGGCUCAACCCCGGCGAGCCGUUGAAACUGGCGGGCUGGAGUUGGGGAGAGGUAAGCGGAAUGCGCGGUGUAGCGGUGAAAUGCUUAGAUAUCGCGCAGAACACCGAUUGCGAAGGCAGCGUACCGGCUCCACACUGACGCUGAGGCACGAAAGCGUGGGUAUCGAACAGGAUUAGAUACCCCAGUAGUC